GUGAUGACUGGCCCAGUGUCUGAAUGUGGAGGUGAUGACUGGCCCAGUGUCUGAAUGUGGAGGUGAUGACUGGCCCAGUGUCUGAAUAUGGUGGUAGAGGUGAUGACUGGCCCAGUGUCUGAAUGUGGAGGUGAUGACUGGCCCAGUGUCUGAAUAUGUUGGUAGAGGUGAUGACUGGCCCAGUGUCUGAAUAUGUUGGUAGAGGUGAUGACUGGCCCAGUGUCUGAAUAUAGUGGUAGAGGUGAUGACUGGCCCAGUGUCUGAAUAUGGUGGUAGAGGUGAUGACUAGCCCAGUGUCUGAAUAUAGUGGUAGAGGUGAUGACUAGCCCAGUGUCUGAAUAUAGUGGUAGAGGUGAUGACUAGCCUAGUGUCUGAAUAUAGUGGUAGAGGCGAUGACUGGCCCAGUGUCUGAAUAUGGUGGUAGAGGUGAUGACUAGCCCAGUGUCUGAAUAUAGUGGUAGAGGUGAUGACUGGCCCAGUGUCUGAAU